rnacentral:misc_RNA from 1 species
UUGACCGUCGCCGGAUCUGCAGCUGUCAGCGGCGCCUUCUGCAGGGGCGGCUUGCUCCGUGCGUUGGGGUGUGUGGUGGGAGGGCCUCUGGCGAAAGCCAUGCCCGCUUGCGGGCGGACAGCGGUGACGCCCGCGGGCGCCACCCCUACCCUAUUGAGGGUGCCGUCUUUGGUCCUCUCGCCACCAUGCGGGAACCCUCGUCUCGGCCUUCUUGGGGUCUCCCGCUGGUGCUCGUCCGACGUUAGGGCUCUGAGGGUUGGUGCGUCGGCGGACGACAGUAGGUCUUCGGAGGAAACUUUGCUUGGUUGGUACCAGGCGGGCGGCGACGACUCGUUUCUCCUUCUUGAAGGCGCGGCCCAGAAGACCUAGUUUGUGUGUUCGUCGGCGUUGUGGAGGCUCUUUGUCACUCCGCUUGGCUCGGUGGUGUCGAGGCCAUUGUCGCUUUAGGCGUCUGCUUGCUCCCGGAGUUCGGCGUUGUGGAUCUUUGCUCGUGGUGAAGAAUCAGAGCUGCCUCGUGUGGGGUGUGCGAGGCUUGGCAACGAUGGCGCGUCGUGAUCUUAUUCCUUGCGUCGGUGUCUGGAUUUAGGCGUCAUCGAGUUGCUUUGGCAGUGUGUGGCUCGUCUUGGGAAGUCGGAGCUGCUCGUCCCUUGUGUUUGAGCUUGGCAACGAUGACUCUAGAUGUGUUUGUGUGUGUGAGGCUAUUGUUGUCUAGGUGGUUUGUUAGGGCCUU